GCAAAAACGGGACUUGGAGACAUCUGACAUCCAGCUGGUCCACCACACCAGCAUCCACGGCGACACGGAGGAGCUGCGGCACAUGGCCGCCAGCCGGGACGUCCCGCGGCCGCUUUCCACCCUGCCCAUGUUCAACAUCCGCACGGGUCAGCGCAUCAACCCCAUGCCCAGUGCCCCCGACGGUGCCCGCGUCCCCCUCCUCCCGCGGUAAUGUUGGUGGCCUUGUUGCUGUCACCCCC
rnacentral:lncRNA from 1 species